UCAGAUGAAUCUGUCGAGCCGACCCCGCCUGAUGAGCUCCUCGAUUUUGUCUCAGAGCUGAAUACACUCCUCCGUGUCGUGGCUGUGGUCACGAUGAUAGAGGUAGAAUUUGUUUGGGUUGCGCUUCCCGAGGUACGAGCGCAUCCUUUCCGACCUCGGUAGUUUUUUCCUGACCUCCAUUAGCACUUGGGCUUUUGGAGCAUUGAGAGGGG
rnacentral:lncRNA from 1 species